GUGGGGGAUAUUGCACAAUGGAGGAAACUCUGAUGCAGCGACGCCGCGUGAGUGAAGAAGUAUUUCGGUAUGUAAAGCUCUAUCAGCAGGGAAGAUAAUGACAGUACCUGACUAAGAAGCCCCGGCUAACUACGUGCCAGCAGCCGCGGUAAUACGUAGGGGGCAAGCGUUAUCCGGAUUUACUGGGUGUAAAGGGAGCGUAGACGGAAUGGCAAGUCUGAAGUGAAAUCCUGCGGCUUAACUGCAGAAUUGCUUUGGAAACUGUCAAUCUGGAAUGUUGGAGAAGUAAGCGGAAUUCCUGGUGUAGCGGUGAAAUGCGUAGAUAUCAGGAAGAACACCGGAGGCGAAGGCGGCUUACUGGACAAUAACUGACGUUGAGGCUCGAAAGCGUGGGAAGCAAACAGGAUUAGAAACCCCUGUAGUCC
rnacentral:rRNA from 1 species